AUCGACAAGUAAUACAACGUAGAUCGACGAAAAAAUAGUCAAGCAACUACGCGUUAUCAAAGAUUACUCAAAAAGUAGUUAUCAGAUCUCGAUAAAAAUUAUAUGUGACCACAUGAUAAACAUCAGCUUUCGAUUAAAUUAAAAAUUAUCAAAAUCGGUACACCCAGUAAAAAGUUAUUGCGGAUUUUCGAGAGUUCCCCUAGAUUUCUCUGGGAUCCCAUCAUCAGAUCCUCGUUUCCUUAUCACGGUACCAAACUAGGGAUAUCCCCUUUCCAACAAAAAAAGAAUUAUCAAAAUCGGUACAUCCAGUAAAAAGUUAUGCGGUAUAAUACAACGUAGGUCGACGAAAAAAGCGUCAAGUAAUAACGCAUUAUUAGACAUAACUCGAAAAGUAGUUGUUAGAUCUCAAAUAAAUUUAAAUGGGACCAAUUGGC
rnacentral:misc_RNA from 1 species